CUCAGCUUGGAAUAAUUUGCCAGGGCGGCUCACAGAAUCUAGCCUAGUUCCCACCACCCCAGGGGAUGUGGUGCAGGGUACAGAUGAACAGCCAGGUGAAGAGGGACACAGGGUGAGGCCUUGGAAGGGCCCCAUGGACACGGCUCCUGUCCUCACGGAGUUGAGGCGCGUCAGCCUGGAAGUUCUCCAAACCUCUCUGGAGGGAGAGGACUAACCUCCACCCAGGUGCCCACAUAGAAGUACCUCAUUGCAACAAAAGACAAACUCAUGUACUUAUCAAAUCUCUGACUUAAGAAGCAGGACUCUGGGGGCAUCUUCCUGUCUGAGGCCCUGAGUACUGCUGCUAUUGAGAGGAGAAAGGGAGAACUUUCUACAUCGGGGUCCUGGCACCCAGCUCAGGAUCCGGCACCCAAUGGGGGUUCAAGCAAGCUCAGCCUUGGGAGCUGUGUGGACCAGGGCUUCCGGCCCAGCUCAACCACGGAGUGACGUGGGCCGAGGCUCACCCUCUCCGGCCUCCCGCUCCCCAUCUGAGCUGCAUGGCUUCGGCUUCCUGUCACUUGCCCACUCGCUCGCCAAACAUGUCAGCUCAGCGAAGACGUGCAGCUUGCGCCUUGUCUAGAACUAAAGGAAGUUGGCAAAGGUGAUGGGGGCUGGGGGGUCACUCUCUGCUGAAGUUACAUUGCACAAGGCUCCCUCUUACUGCAUGGCUCCCCCCUCUCCUCAUUGUACAGGCCCUCCAGCCUGGAGAGAGCCCCCCUUGAUAUCUCUAUGUACUAAGUUGCAGGCCCUGGGCAGGCAGCUCCCAGCUGGCGGGGCUCAGUGGCACAGCCCAGGAAAUGAAAGCGACUGACGGCAGCAAGAACUUGGAAGGUGGGUUCUGCCCGCUUCAAGGCCCCAGAUGGGAACACGGCCUGGCCCAGGCUCAAUAGCAGCCUGUGAGCCCCUAAGCGGGGCAGCUAAACCGUGUCUGGAUUUGUAAUCCACAAACUGUGAGGUGACGCUAGUGUGUAUUUUAAACUGCUAAAGUAGUAGUAACUGGUUACACAAUGAUUAGAAAAUGAAUACCAUGAAAAUGAAGUCGGGAUCCGUGAGCAAACCCCAGCCUCCCGGCUUCGCAGUCUAGGGCAGGAAGGCGGAACGAUCCCACAUUCAGUGGCGAACUAGUGAUAAACAAUGUUUCACUCGUUAUCAAAGUACCUGAGACUGUGGAAAGGGAAGGAAUGUGCCUUGUCUAGGCCGGGGAGAGGGGGUGGGUCAGAGAAAGCUUCCCUGAGAAAACGGUAUUUGAGCCAGAGCUGAGUGAUGAGGUACAGAUAACAAGGGCGAGGAGCAACCUUUCCGGGAGUGUGCCUGGAGCCUUCCCUAGCGCUACACCUGUAGCUCAUUCAAGAUGCGAAACACCUGUUGUGAUUAUCCCCAUUUGUGAGUGGAGAAGGAGGUACCGAAUAGUUCAGAACUGGCCCAAGUCCCAGGACUACCAAGUAAGAGGGGAGCAAGGGGGGAGGUAGGGACGCAAACCCAGGGCUUUACAGUCAGAGCCUGUGCUGCCCAGCCCGCCAGGCACAGGGACGGCAGGCACAAGGCCCCGGGCAGAGGAGAACCAAGAGGCCAAGCAGCUGAAGGGGCUGCUGGGGUGGGAGAGAGGCCGGAGGGCAGGGGCCCGGGGUGGUCCUCAGGGUCCUGCUCAGCGUCCAUGUGCAAAACUGACAGGCCUCCCCACAUAGGCGGCCAAACAGGGAUCCCACCUUAGAGAUUUCAUCUCCGUUUCUGACCUGAACACAUCAGUCCGGGGGCUGGUAACACGAAGAAAUUGUGGAUUCUUCAUCUUGCCAAGGAAGGUUCUGGCCCUCAACUUCUGGCUUGGGAGUUGCUAAACCUUGUUUGUCCCGGGCCUCCCCUGGUGGCGCAGCGGUUGAGCGCUGGGCUGCGACGCUGCCCGCAGCCUCUGCAGCGUUUGUUCGAUCCCUGGCUGCUCCCCGGCCACCGGAGGAGGGUCCCACAUGGCGCUCAGAC